UGCCCAACAACUCCUAUCCCUACCUCCACGCGGUACCGGCCGGAAACUAUGAGCAACCUUAGGGAAGA
rnacentral:ribozyme from 1 species